UCCUACGGGAGGCAGCAGUGAGGAAUAUUGGUCAAUGGCCGAGAGGCUGAACCAGCCAAGUAGCGUGCAGGACGACGGCCCUACGGGUUGUAAACUGCUUUUGCGGGAGGAUAAAGUGCGCCACGCGUGGCGCUUUGCAGGUAUCCCGUGAAUAAGGACCGGCUAAUUCCGUGCCAGCAGCCGCGGUAAU
rnacentral:rRNA from 1 species